GACGGAGGGUGCAAGCGUUGCUCGGAAUCACUGGGCGUAAAGGGUGCGUAGGCGGUCUCGCAAGUCUGGCGUGAAAGCCCAAGGCUCAGCCUUGGAAGUGCGCUCGAAACGGCGAGGCUGGAGUGCCGGAGGGGAGAGUGGAAUUCCCGGUGUAGCGGUGAAAUGCGUAGAUAUUGGGAAGAACACCUGAGGCGAAGGCGGGUUGCUGGGCCGACACUGACGCUGAGGCGCGAAAGCCAGGGGAGCAAACGGG
rnacentral:rRNA from 1 species